UGGUGGAGCGAUUUGUCUGGUUAAUUCCGAUAACGAACGAGACUCUAGCCUAUUAAAUAGUUCGCCGAUUUUUCGAGUCGGCGUCAACUUCUUAGAGGGACAAGUGUUGUAUAGGCACGCGAGAUUGAGCAAUAACA
rnacentral:rRNA from 1 species